rnacentral:rRNA from 1 species
CCUACGGGAGACAGCAGUGAGGAAUAUUGGUCAAUGGGCGCGAGCCUGAACCAGCCAAGUAGCGUGAAGGAUGACUGCCCUACGGGUUGUAAACUUUUUUUAUAAAGGAAUAAAGUGCGGCACGUGUGCCUUUUUGUAUGUACUUUAUGCAUAAGGAUCGGCUAACUCCGCGCCAGCCGCCGCGGUACUACGGAGGGUGCGAGCGUUACUCGGAAUUACUGGGCGUAACGCGCGCGUAGUCGGUAUGUCAAGUCAAGUGUGAAAUCCCCGCGCUCAACGUGGGAACUGCCUUUGAAACUGGCAAACUGGAGUGUAGGAGAGGAGAGUGGAAUUCCAGGUGUAGCGGUGAAAUGCGUAGAUAUCUGGAGGAACAGCAGUGGCGAAGGCGACUAUCUGGCACAUAACUGACGCUGAGGAGCGAAAGCGUGGGUAGCAAACAGGAUUAGAGACCCCGGUAGUC